rnacentral:rRNA from 1 species
GCUAAUACCGGAUAUGAGCUACCUUCGCAUGGGGGUGGUUGGAAAGUUUUUCGGUCAGGGAUGGGCUCGCGGCCUAUCAGCUUGUUGGUGGGGUGAUGGCCUACCAAGGCGACGACGGGUAGCCGGCCUGAGAGGGCGACCGGCCACACUGGGACUGAGACACGGCCCAGACUCCUACGGGAGGCAGCAGUGGGGAAUAUUGCACAAUGGGCGCAAGCCUGAUGCAGCGACGCCGCGUGAGGGAUGAAGGCCUUCGGGUUGUAAACCUCUUUCAGCAGGGAAGAAGCGCAAGUGACGGUACCUGCAGAAGAAGCGCCGGCUAACUACGUGCCAGCAGCCGCGGUAAUACGUAGGGCGCAAGCGUUGUCCGGAAUUAUUGGGCGUAAAGAGCUCGUAGGCGGUCUGUCGCGUCUGGUGUGAAAACUCGAGGCUCAACCUCGAGCUUGCAUCGGGUACGGGCAGACUAGAGUGCGGUAGGGGAGACUGGAAUUCCUGGUGUAGCGGUGGAAUGCGCAGAUAUCAGGAGGAACACCGAUGGCGAAGGCAGGUCUCUGGGCCGCAACUGACGCUGAGGAGCGAAAGCAUGGGGAGCGAACAGGAUUAGAUACCCUGGUAGUCCAUGCCGUAAACGUUGGGCACUAGGUGUGGGGCUCAUUCCACGAGUUCCGUGCCGCAGCAAACGCAUUAAGUGCCCCGCCUGGGGAGUACGGCCGCAAGGCUAAAACUCAAAGGAAUUGACGGGGGCCCGCACAAGCGGCGGAGCAUGCGGAUUAAUUCGAUGCAACGCGAAGAACCUUACCAAGGCUUGACAUGCACGGGAAGCCACCAGAGAUGGUGGUCUCUUUGGACACUCGUGCACAGGUGGUGCAUGGUUGUCGUCAGCUCGUGUCGUGAGAUGUUGGGUUAAGUCCCGCAACGAGCGCAACCCUCGUCCCAUGUUGCCAGCGGGUUAUGCCGGGGACUCAUGGGAGACUGCCGGGGUCAACUCGGAGGAAGGUGGGGAUGACGUCAAAUCAUCAUGCCCCUUAUGUCUUGGGCUUCACGCAUGCUACAAUGGCCGGUACAAAGGGCUGCGAUGCCGUAAGGUGGAGCGAAUCCCAAAAAGCCGGUCUCAGUUCGGAUUGGGGUCUGCAACUCGACCCCAUGAAGUCGGAGUCGCUAGUAAUCGCAGAUCAGCAACGCUGCGGUGAAUACGUUCCCGGGCCUUGUACACACCGCCCGUCAAGUCACGAAAGUCGGUAACACCCGAAGCCCAUGGCCCAACCCUUGUGGGGGGA